rnacentral:rRNA from 1 species
GAUGAACGCUGGCGGCGUGCCUAAUACAUGCAAGUCGAGCGAACAGACGAGGAGCUUGCCUCUCUGACGUUAGCGGCGGACGGGUGAGUAACACGUGGAUACCCUACCUAUAAGAAUGGCAUAACUUCGGGAAACCGGAGCUAAUACCGGAUAAUAUAUUGAACCGCAUGGUUCAAUAGUGAAAGUCGGUUUUGCUGUCACUUAUAGAUGGUUCCGCGCCGCAUUAGCUAGUUGGUAAGGUAACGGCUUACCAAGGCAACGAUGCGUAGCCGACCUGAGAGGGUGAUCGGCCACACUGGAACUGAGACACGGUCCAGACUCCUACGGGAGGCAGCAGUAGGGAAUCUUCCGCAAUGGGCGAAAGCCUGACGGAGCAACGCCGCGUGAGGGAUGAAGGUCUUCGGAUCGUAAAACUCUGUUAUUAGGGAAGAACAAAUGUGUAAGUAACUAUGCACGUCUUGACGGUACCUAAUCAGAAAGCCACGGCUAACUACGUG